ACUCCUACGGGAGGCAGCAGUGGGGAAUAUUGCACAAUGGGCGCAAGCCUGAUGCAGCAACGCCGCGUGAGCGAAGAAGGUCUUCGGAUCGUAAAGCUCUUUUCUUAGGGAAGAAAACUGACGGUACCUAAGGAAUAAGCACCGGCUAAAUACGUGCCAGCAGCCGCGGUAAUACGUAUGGUGCAAGCGUUAUCCGGAAUCACUGGGCGUAAAGGGGUGCGUAGGCGGUUUUGCAAGUCAGAAGUGAAAGGCUACGGCUCAACCGUAGUAAGCUUUUGAAACUGCAAGACUAGAGUGCAGGAGAGGAAAGUGGAAUUCCUAGUGUAGAGGUGAAAUUCGUAGAUAUUAGGAGGAACACCAGUGGCGAAGGCGACUUUCUGGACUGUAACUGACGCUGAUGCACGAAAGCGUGGGGAGCGAACAGGAUUAGAUACCCUGUAGCACAGAG
rnacentral:rRNA from 1 species